AGUUUUUUGAAGUUUUAUUAAAAAUGGUUUCUGCUCAAUGUUAAUAAAUAGCCGCGGUAAUUUGACUGUGCAAAGGUAGCAUAAUCAUUUGCCUUGUAAUUUAGGGCUGGUAUGAAUGGAUUUACGAAAACCUUUCUGUCUCUUUCUUUGUUUUUGAAUUUGUAUUUAUUGUGAAGAUGCAUUGAUAAAUAAAUUAGACAAGAAGACCCUUUGAGCUUUUAUUUUUUUGGUUUUUUUGAAUUUCCAAGUGAAUUUGGUUGGGGCAACCAAGGAAGAGGUUUUUAAUAUAUCUUCCUUUAAUAACAAUGAACCAGUUUUAUUGGAUUUUGGAACAAGUUACCUAAGGGAUAACAGCGUAAUUUUUUUUGAGAGUUCUUAUUAAAAAUGAAGAUUGCGACCUCGAUGUUGACUUAUUGUUUCCUUAUUGGUGUAGCAGCUUUAAGGGUGGGUCUGUUCGACCUUUAAAACAUU
rnacentral:rRNA from 1 species